UACGUAGGGACCGAGCGUUGUCCGGAAUCAUUGGGCGUAAAGCGCGUGUAGGCGGCUCGGUAAGUCUGCUGUGAAAGUCCAGGGCUCAACCCUGGAAAGCCGGUGGAAACUGUCGAGCUAGAGUCCGGAAGAGGCGAGUGGAAUUCCUGGUGUAGCGGUGAAAUGCGCAGAUAUCAGGAGGAACACCAAUGGCGAAGGCAGCUCGCUGGGACGGUACUGACGCUGAGACGCGAAAGCGUGGGGAGCAAACAGG
rnacentral:rRNA from 1 species